AUUGAACGCUGGCGGCAUGCUUUACACAUGCAAGUCGAACGGUAACAGGUUAAGCUGACGAGUGGCGAACGGGUGAGUAAUGCAUCGGAACGUGCCCGGUCGUGGGGGAUAACGCAGCGAAAGCUGCGCUAAUACCGCAUACGAUCUGAGGAUGAAAGCGGGGGACCGUAAGGCCUCGCGCGAUCGGCGCGGCCGAUGUCAGAUUAGGUAGUUGGUGGGGUAAAGGCUCACCAAGCCAACGAUCUGUAGCUGGUCUGAGAGGACGACCAGCCACACUGGGACUGAGACACGGCCCAGACUCCUACGGGAGGCAGCAGUGGGGAAUUUUGGACAAUGGGCGAAAGCCUGAUCCAGCAAUGCCGCGUGCAGGAAGAAGGCCUUCGGGUUGUAAACUGCUUUUGUACGGAGCGAAAAGGUCUCCUCUAAUACAGGGGGCUCAUGACGGUACCGUAAGAAUAAGCACCGGCUAACUACGUGCCAGCAGCCGCCGUAA
rnacentral:rRNA from 1 species